UGCGUAGGCGGGUUAAUAAGUCAGUGGUGAAAGCCCUCAGCUUAACUGAGGAACUGCCAUUGAUACUGUUAGUCUUGAGUAUAGUUGAGGUGGGCGGAAUGUGUCAUGUAGCGGUGAAAUGCAUAGAUAUGACACAGAACACCGAUUGCGUAGGCAGCUCACUAAACUAUCACUGACGCUGAGGCACGAAAGCGUGGGGAGCGAACAGGAUUAGAUACCCUGGUAGUCC
rnacentral:rRNA from 1 species